rnacentral:lncRNA from 1 species
GAAAAAGAAGGCUAAAACAGAUACCAGCUAAUCAACUCAAAUAGACGUGACGUAAAGAUAAAAAAGCGAAAAUGUCUACUGCCGGAAUGGGAAGACAAAGCCGUCUCUGUGUCAUACUGGUAAAAGUAGGAACAUCAGUAGCAAGAGCAGUAUUCGAGAAACGUGUCAAAGAUCUCACUCCGCCUAACCACGAUCCAUCUCCUUGGACAGUUGACGAUUUUCUUUCAGAAAACAAGCCAAAAAUAAGAUCGAUGAAGCUUAAAAGUCAGAUGUGGUCGAAGAUGUUCCCCGUUCAGUCACAUGUGAUAAGGUUAGAACAAUGGGACUUAGCACUGCUGUGUAGAAUUUUAACUGAAUGCUGUGACCUUCGGCCAGAUAUUAGACUUGAUAUUUACCAGUUACGAAAAUUACGCAAUAAACUUUUUCAUAUGAGUGAACCGAGUAUUGAUGAUCACAAAUAUCAGCAUUAUUUGGCUAAACUGAAGGUGAGUUUCGAUAGAUGUCUUAAAGAAACUAAACGAUGAUGUUUUCACGACAGAAAUGGAUAAAAUGUUUGAGGAUCUUGAACAUGGACAGUUUUCACAAGUUGAUGCAGAAGAAGUGAUGGAAAUGUUGCAGUUCAUGCAGGAAGAAACAAACGAAAGAUUCUAUGAACUUGGACAAAACCAACAAUCGACGAAUGAGAAACUUGAUGACCUGUUACAAAAAGUUGAAGUGUUAACAACAAGUUUAGAGUCUGUAAACAAGCUUAAAGUUCCUGAAUCUGGUGCAAAAAUAGAAGUAAGGAACUGUUGUUUAGAAAAAGACAAUGAAAUUUCCAAACUUAUGAUACAAUGUUUCGAAGAAUGCAUUGAUGAUGAUGAUGGUGAAGUUUCUGAAAGUUCAACAACUUCCCACGCUUAAGUGUAAAGAAGCAGUGCACAAAAUGUAUACAAAACUUUUGUCCAAGGGCUAUAAAGUCAUAGACGCACACAAAGGAUGUGUUUUUCUUCAUAUACAGUGUUCUUCAAUGGCAUCAUUAAUGUCAUAUUUUCACGACUAUGUCAGUGGACAACUUGCUCUUGAGUUAAAAAUAGCAGAGGACACCAUUAGAACGAUUGAUGGGUGUGAGGAUAUAGCGUUGGAAAUUGUGAUAAACACUGAGGAAAUACUGGAAACAAUAAAUGGAAUUGUUACGACAGUUUCCGAGUUAAUGAAAACUGAAGGAAUUCUAUCACAGACAGCAGAAGAAGAAAUCCAAUCAAAAAGGAAAAUUGUGGAAACGGGCUGUGCAGAGCAAGGUAUCCAGGACGACACAACAAAUUUCCAGACCUCGGUGACAAGCAAUAGAGUCCGACAUAGCGAAAGAAUUACGACAGUUUCCGAGUUAAUAAAAACCGAAGGAGUUCAUACACAGAUAGCAGAAGGAGAAAUCCAAUCAAAAGGGAAAUAUGUGGAAACAGAUUAUGCAGAGCCAGGUAUGCAGUACGACACUGCUGAUUUCAAGACCCCAGUGACAAGCAAAAUAUUCAGACAUAGGGACAGAAAUAAGCGGCACCUGUACGAGAAUGAAUAACUUUGUGUCACAAAGGAGCGUGUUUAUUGGCUGAAAGCUCUGAAAGGACUUUCGAUUACAAAAGACGUAGUACUGCCGCUUGUUUCGUCAAUCUUCAGGCAGUUCUAUAACAACUGUACUGUCAAUGAACGAGGUCACAUUCAACAUCUGCUUACCAUUGCAAGUAAUCGUGAUACCUAUAAACAGGUAACGGGAGUACAGACAGGCCCUAACGUUUGGGAUGUCAACUGCUCCGACUGCAAGCCCUUACUGAUGAAACUACUGCGGGCUCACUGGAAACCAUCACAAAUUGAGUGGGGUAACAUUGGUGCUGGAGGGGUAGAUGACUAUUGGAAGAUUGCGAAGCUGUUUAUGCCAUGUGGAAACAAGGACAGUAGGGGGGACCUGAAGACACAAACAUUUCGGCAAUUUUCGAACUCUUGAGAAACUUCAAGAUUGACAACUUUAAUCAGGAAGCGACAGAUUUGAAUCAGCUGAUAAGAGACGGAAAUGAGCUGGUACAUUCACCUGACAAUGAGAUACCUGAGGAGAAAAUGAAUGAUAUUUUCAAACACAUAUUCAAAUUCUUGGAGAGCAACAGACUGGGUGAAGGAAACACAACGAACGUCAGAAUAGAAUUAGAACAGCUUCAGAAAAAUGUAUCCAACAAAGACGAUCCAAUGUACAGACAGGUUCUACAGAUACAACGCAUGAGACUCGAGUUUGAUGAACAGGAAAAUGUAAAAAGAGACGAUAUCUUUAAAAAGAUUAAUCAGAUAGCGGAAGAGCUAAAAAUAGAAAAAGAUAGAAUGGAGAGGGAAAUCAAAGAAUUAACGGCAAUGCUAGAAAUGAAAGAUCUCGAUCUAUUUGCAAAAAAUGUUGAACUGAUGAAGAUGAAAAGCCAUAAGAAACGUAUUGCGGAAGAGAGUCUAGGCCUAGCGGAGCGUAUUUUGGUAGGGUCAGCAACUGGAGGAACAGUAGGGCUGCUCAUAGGACCGAUAGGAGCUGUUGCUGGUGCGACAGGGGGUGGGGUAGUUGGGUUGAUGUCCUAUUUGUGGGACAAGAUUACAAAGUAAUAAAAAGCUGUAUGUAUUACAAAAAUACAAUACCAAAAAAGCAGAUUGAAAAUUAUAUGCUGGACUUUUCAUUCGUUUUCUUCUUUUUUUACCUUUUUCGACACCUAUACUAUUCAAUUUAUUAUAUAAUAGAGUUCCGGUUAAUAAUUUGGUGACGUGUGUUGCACAUUUCGUUACCUCUUAUAAGCAAACAAAAUCAGUCAAAGUAUGCUGUGAUUAUGUUCCAAGAACGCAGGCUCCAUGACAUCAGAACCACAUUUAGCUGUGUAUAUAUUUAUACAUGACAUACAUAUACCCUGUAGUGCAUAGGCA